AGUGAACGCUGGCGGUAGGCCUAACACAUGCAAGUCGAACGGCAGCACAGUAAGAGCUUGCUCUUACGGGUGGCGAGUGGCGGACGGGUGAGGAAUACAUCGGAAUCUACUUUUUCGUGGGGGAUAACGUAGGGACACUUACGCUAAUACCGCAUACGACCUACGGGUGAAAGCAGGGGAUCUUCGGACCUUGCGCGAUUGAAUGAGCCGAUGUCGGAUUAGCUAGUUGGCGGGGUAAAGGCCCACCAAGGCGACGAUCCGUAGCUGGUCUGAGAGGAUGAUCGGCCACACUGGAACGGAGACACGGUCCAGACUCCUACGGGAGGCAGCAGUGGGGAAUAUUCGACAAGGGGCGCAAGCCUGAUCCAGCCAGACCGCGGGGGUGAAGAAGGCCUUCGGGUUGUAAAGCCCUUUUGUUGGGAAAGAAAAGCAGCAGGUUAAUACCCCGCUGUUCUGACGGUACCCAUAGAAUAAACACCGGCUAACUUCGU
rnacentral:rRNA from 1 species